ACCUAUGGCGGCUGUGCGUGGGACACCUUCGGGUGUGCCGGUUCCUAGGGGGCCCGGUCGGUCAACCCGCGUACAGCUGUCACCCCU
rnacentral:antisense_RNA from 1 species